rnacentral:rRNA from 1 species
AUUGAUCAUGGCUCAGAUUGAACGCUGGCGUGAAAUGCCUUACACAUGCAAGUCGAACGGCAGCACGGGGGCAACCCUGGUGGCGAGUGGCGAACGGGUGCAGUAAUACAUCGGCAACGUGUCCUGUCAGCUGGGGGAUAGCCCGGCGAAAGCCGGAUUAAUACCGCAUACGCUCUACGAGCAGAGAAAGGGGCGGGAUCUUAGGACCUCCCGCUACAGCGGGCGGCCGAUGGCAGAUUAGCUAGUUGGUGGGGUAAAUGUGCCUACCAAGGCGACAGAUCUGUAGCUGGUCUGAGAGGACGACCAGCCACACUGGGACUGAGACACGGCCAGACUCCUACGUGGAGGCAGCAGUGGGGAAUUUUGGACAAUGGGGGCAACCCUGAUCCAGCAAUGCCGCGUGUGUGAAGAAGGCCUUCGGGCUUGUAAAGCACUUUUGUCCGGAAAGAAAACGCCGUGGUUAAUACCCGUGGCGGAUGACGGUACCGGAAGAAUAAGCACCGGCUAACUACGUGCCAGCAGCCAGCAGGUAAAUACGUAAGGGUGCAAGCGUUAAUCGGGAAUUACA